ensembl:lncRNA
AUCACAAUCUAACGAUCGUUAGAUUAAGAUCUUUAUAACAGGAGGAAUUUAAUGAUCAUACCAAUCUGGUCCUCAAAAGCCUCAAGAAUCAACAAAAAUUCAAAAUUCCUUGUUGCAGCUUUGAGAUGUGAUCACAUUUACACAAAUAACACUCUAACCUUUUCUUGUGUGUUUAGUUUUCAGUCUGGACUGAACAAGACGUCACAGUCCUCAGUGAGCAACUCCGACAGUAACAGGAAGACAUCUGAGGACACAACCACAUGUGAAGACACCGGGCCAAAGAAGAAGGGGAAGAAGAAGAGGAAUUGCUUCAGACGCGUUUGUCUCUUGGCUGAGGAAGACUUUCAGCUGCUGUGUUUCCUGUGUUGAUGAGGAUUAGGGAUGUGUGAAGUAAUGUUCUGUGUAGGGUUUCUAUCCCAUGGUUUUCAGGGCUUUUGGGGAGUUUUCCAAUCAAAAUUGUCAUCGUUUGCACAUUCUCCCUGUAUCUGCGAGGUUUUCUCCGGGCGCUCCGGUUUUUCCUACAAACAUAAAAUAUGUUUGAAAAAAAAAGAUGAAGCUCAUUCAGGGACAGAUCUGAUUGCAGACAAUCAUAUGUCAAUAUUUGCUUGGAAAAGUCCCCAUAUCGCCUGAAUGCCCCAUAACACAGAUCAUGUCACGUCAUAACAAGACGUCACAGUCCUCAGUGAGCAACACCGAGUUUGUGAAGUUGUGUAGGGUUUCUUUGCAUGUUUUUCUGGGCUUCCGGGGAAUUGUGCAAUCAAAACCCUCAUAGAUCUUCCGAGGGCAGCAUGGUGGCUUAGUGGUCAAUUUUGACAUUGUGGCUUCACAGCAGAAGGUACUGGCUUUUUUCUGGGCCUCUUUCUGUUUCUGUUUGUAAGAUCCAAUUAAAAGAGGUUUGUCUCAUUCAACCAGUAUAGGAAGUCAAUUCGGCACUGAUGUCGCAUCAAUGGGUCACAUGACCUGGAAGCUAUUGUCAAAAAUGCUGAGUCUACAUGGAGCCUAUUGAGGAAAAUGUUGAAUUUUUAUUUGAAUUAUUGCCAAAAAUAAAUGAAUAAAAUAAUUAAAGUUCAACAUAAAGAGUUGUGUCUCAUUGAACCAGUAUAUAUUGCCUGGCAGACCACUAACGACUGGAUUGCUGUCAUUGAACUUUUGUCCCUAAAAAACUCUAUACCACGAGGCCUCCAAAACAACAUGUCUCCGCUCAGUUCUGCUGGUGUCUCUCAAUUUGCUGCACUUCUACCAUGAAUAAGAACACUAAUGUUAACACCAGGGUCUGCUCAAAAUAGUUUAUACACUCAGUAGGACGUAGACAAACUAACAACCACUCAAGAGAAACCUUACACAGGCCACCAGAAAACAUGUCUCCGGUCAUUCUGCUGGUGUUUGUAGCUCAGUUUGAUACAUGACUAAGACCGCAAGAACUGCUUCUAAACCAAAAACUUCACCACCGCCCAGUUGCACGUCAGAAACUGAAUACGAUCAUUGUUAGUGGCCUGCUAGGCGAAUAGGCCGAGGCUAAUGUUUAUGUUGAAUCUACAUAAAUGAAGCUGUCCAUUUAAAAUGUACAAGUCCCUGAUCAAAACCUCUAGGGUUCAAAGGAAGUAGAAGUAUUUAGUAGGGGCGGGAAAAAUAAUCGAUUCUUAGAUGAAUCGCGAUUCGGACGUGGAAGAUUCUGAAUCGAUUCACAAAUGUCUGAAUCGAUUCACAAAUGUCAAAAAUCGAUUUUCUACACUUUAAUUGACAACAUAAUGUUGACGGAACGCAAAAGGCGUAACUCGGAAGUGUGGAAGUGCAGUGCCCGGACAGUCGACGGCAUGCACAAAACAAAAAACAUGGGAUGUGUCGUGAAUGUCUGUACUCACAAACAACUCAUGGGUGUAACAGUCUGAGGCAUUUGUCCAGCGGCUCGAGAACAGCGUGGAGACCGCUGUUGGCUGUUAGCUGUGGCGUUGAGUGCGCAGCGUCCAGGUUAACUUGUGACACCUGUAACUAUCGGGUAUUUCUGUCAUUCAACACUGCGUUCAAAUGGUUACUUAAAGCCACCAUUCCCAGCCGCAUACAUCGUUAUUAAGCUGAAUCCAAGUCGAUGUGAAACUGUACACUGUCAUACAGCCCGCACAGUAUGUUAAAAUCCAGCCCGAACUCAGCGUGAGGUCAGUCAGCUGUGGCAAAGUUUGAG